CAACUACUCCCUCUGUCCCAAAUUUCUUAUCUUGGAUUUGUCUAGAUACGGAUGUAUCUAAUACUAAAAUGUGACUUGAUACAUCAGUAUCUAGACAAAUCUAAGACAAGAAUUUUGGGACGGAGGGAGUACUUU
rfam:Triticum aestivum genome assembly, contig: Triticum_aestivum_CS42_TGACv1_scaffold_210656_3AS